ensembl:lncRNA
CUGCAAUGUACCCAAGUGGCGUCGGGAGCAACUGCUUGCACGCGCGUUACCACUCCACUAUGUCUCCCUGUCAUGGCGUUUGCGCCAUCAGUACAGAUAUCAACAUGAGCAGCAGCUACGUUUGGCUACAUACAGACCAUUAGUGGAUUUCCCGCGAGAGAGUAACGGUUAAUGUGAUUGGAUGUUAAUUAUUUGACUAUAGCUAACAGGACUCUAGUCUGGAGUUAUAUCUUAGCUAACAGGACUAUAGUCUGGAAUUAUAUCUUAGCUAAUAGGACUAUAGCUAUAGUCUGGAGUUAUACCUUAGCUAAUAGAACUAUAGGCUGGAGUUAUAUCUUAGCUAAUAGGACCAUAGCUAUAGUCUGGAGUUAUACCUUAGCUAAUAGAACUAUAGUCUGGAGUUAUAUCUUAGCUAAUAGAACUAUAGUCUGGAGUUAUACCUUAGCUAACAGGACUAUAGCUAUAGUCUGGAGUUAUAUCUUAGCUAAUAGGACUAUAGUCAGGAGUUAUAUCUUAGCUAAUAGGACUAUAGCUAUAGUCUGGAGUUAUAUCUUAGCUAAUAUGACUAUAGUCUGGAGUUAUAUCUUAGCUAACAGGACUAUAGCUAUAGUCUGGAGUUUUAUCUUAGCUAAUUGGACUAUAGCUAUAGUCUGGAGUUAUACCUAAGUUAACAGGACUAUAGUCUGGAGUUAUAUCUUAGCUAAUAGGACUAUGGCUAUAGUCUGGAGUUAUAUCUUAGCGAAUAGGACUAUAGCUAUAGUCUGGAGUUUUAUCUUAGCUAAUUGGACUAUAGCUAUAGUCUGGAGUUAUACCUAAGCUAACAGGACUAUAGUCUGGAGUUAUAUCUUAGCUAAUAGGACUAUAGCUAUAGUCAGGAGUUAUAUCUUAGCUAGUAGGACUAUAGUCAGGAGUUAUAUCUUAUACUGUUUCCUGACUUCACUACAACAACAGUGAAAAAGAGAUGUGAUGUCCGUCUGACAUUCAGGAUUACUCUCCUGAACAACUUAUGAAGACAAGCUGCUGUUAGAGAACGAAGCAGACCGUUGUCUCAGAAACCAGUUGGACUCCGGUGCAACAGAAACGGCUAAACAUUUUGAAAGAAAGAUAACUACUUCCUCUGUUUUCAUAUACGCAACCUUUCUAAACGGUUUGGACAGUUUCACUCUUUGUUAAGUGUUUCAAAAUGUCUGAUGUAGUUUUGUUUCAGAGCGUCAUCCAUUUGUUGGAGGGGAAGAGGAGCCAAUAGCAGUCAACGGUGAACAUUCGUAUGAAUUUUAUAAUAGACACACACAAAAAAAAACAAGACCACUUUAGUGCUUAAAAAAACCAUUUUACUGAUACUGCUCAAGUGUUCAAAGGUCUGUGUGUAUUAACAUAGACACUAAAGUUAUGAAAUAAUUAUAAUUAAAAAUCGACCUGUCCAUGAUAACGUGUGGUGUUUACAUGUAACAUAUUGUGUUUUCUAUGUAACACAGACAAAAAUUAACUUUCAAACAGAACAUACAGGUAGGACAGAUGUGGGGUACAGUAGGACACAGGACAGGUAGGACACAGGACAGGUAGGACACAGGACAGUAAUACUGGUGUGACUACAGGUAGGACACAGGACAGGUACAGUAGGACACAGGACAGGUAGGACACAGGACAGGUAGGACACAGGACAGGUUGGACUCAGGACAGGUAGGACUCAGGACAGUAAUACUGGUGUGACUACAGGUAGUACACAGGACAGGUACAGUAGGACACAGGACAGGUAGGAAACAGGACAGGUACAGUAGGACACAGGACAGGUACAGUAGGACACAGGACAGGUAGGACACAGGACAGGUAAAGUAGGACACAGGACAGGUACAGUAGGACACAGGACAGGUAGGACACAGGACAGGUACAGUAGGACACAGGACAGGUAGGACACAGGACAGGUAGGACUCAGGACAGGUAGGACUCAGGACAGUAAUACUGGUGUGACUACAGGUAGGACACAGGACAGGUAGGACACAGGACAGGUAGGACUCAGGACAGGUAGGACUCAGGACAGUAAUACUGGUGUCAUGGCAACAAGACUUUCAAACAGCAAAGUUAACACGGUAAAACACGUCAUAGUAAAACUAACUGAUGAUGAAUCUAUGGAUCUGCCUCCGAAAGACAAGACAUUAAAUACUAGAUAGACGUGACAAAACAUAUCUGUUUUUCCAUCUGGACAUUUGAGAACAAGAAGUGUUUGAUUAAAAUAAAGUUGAACAGUGUGAAUGAAAAGUUUUUAGCAAUACUGUCAACAAUUACAGUCUUCACACUGUAAUAAAAACAUAAAAUAAUAUAAUGAAACAAUCACCUUGUAUCUGCUGAGUUUUAUGACAUAAAGACAAGACUAAGACACCUCUGGACUGUGUAAUAACACCUCUGGACUGUGUAAUAACACCUCUGGACUGUGUAAUAACACCUCUGGACUGUGUAAUA